GGGAAACCCAGUGUGACUCGUCACACUAUCAUUAACUGAAUCCAUAGGUUAAUGAGGCGAACCGGGGGAACUGAAACAUCUAAGUACCCCGAGGAAAAGAAAUCAACCGAGAUUCCCCCAGUAGCGGCGAGCGAACGGGGAGGAGCCCAGAGCCUGAAUCAGCAUGUGUGUUAGUGGAAGCGUCUGGAAAGGCGCGCGAUACAGGGUGACAGCCCCGUACACAAAAGCGCAUGUGCUGUGAGCUCGAUGAGUAGGGCGGGACACGUGGUAUCCUGUCUGAAUAUGGGGGGACCAUCCUCCAAGGCUAAAUACUCCUGACUGACCGAUAGUGAACCAGUACCGUGAGGGAAAGGCGAAAAGAACCCCGGCGAGGGGAGUGAAAAAGAACCUGAAACCGUGU
rnacentral:rRNA from 1 species